rfam:Oryza sativa (indica cultivar-group) chromosome 6, whole genome shotgun sequence.
UUCAAGUACAACCAUGAGUUCUGUGCUCAACCUUAAUCAUCCGUCUUAUUUGAAAAUUUUUUAUAAUUAAUAUUUUUGUUGCUAUGAGAUGAUAAAAUAUGAAUAGUACUUUACUCGUGACUUAUGUUUUUAAUUUUUUUAAAAAAAUUUUCAAAUAAGACGGACGAUUAAAAUUGGACGCGGAAACGUAUGGUUGCACUUAAA